rnacentral:tRNA from 7 species
GGCGUAUUAGCUCAGCUGGAAAGAGCACCUCUUUUACGAAGGGGCGGUCGUGGGUUCGAAUCCCACAUACGAAU